rnacentral:rRNA from 1 species
GGGCAGACUCAGUGAAAUUGAAUUCGAGGUGAAGAUGCCUCGUACCCGCAGUUAGACGGAAAGACCCUAUGAACCUUUACUAUAGCUUCACAGUGGCACCAUGAUUGUAACGUGUAGGAUAGGUGGGAGGCUUUGAAGCCGGGACGCUAGUUUCGGUGGAGCCAAAACUGAAAUACCACCCUUUGCUCUUGUGUUGUCUAACCGAGGUCCGUUAUCCGGAUCCGGGACCCUGUGUGGUGGGUAGUUUGACUGGGGCGGUCGCCUCCUAAAGAGUAACGGAGGCGCGCGAUGGUGAGCUCAGGACGGUCGGAAAUCGUCCUUUGAGUGCAAUGGCAUAAGCUCGCCUUACUGUGAGACUGACACGUCGAACAGUGUCGAAAGACGGUCAUAGUGAUCCGGUGGUUUCCGCAUGGAAGGGCCAUCGCUCAACGGAUAAAAGGUACUCUAGGGAUAACAGGCUGAUAGCGCCCAAGCGUCCAUAGCGACGGCGCUGUUUGGCACCUCGAUGUCGGCUCAUCUCAUCCUGGGGCUGUAGCAGGUCCCAAGGGUAUGGCUGUUCGCCAUUUAAAGAGGUACGUGAGCUGGGUUCAGAACGUCGUGAGACAGUUCGGUCCCUAUCUUCUGCGGGAGUUGGAGUCUUGAGAGGAUCUGCCCUUAGUACGAGAGGACCGGGGUGGACGUACCACUGGUGUACCAGUUGUUCCGCCAGGAGCAGCGCUGGGUAGCUAUGUACGGACUCGAUAACCGCUGAAAGCAUCUAAGCGGGAAACGAACCUCAAUACCAGGACUCCCUAUCAGAGCCGUUAUAGACUAUGACGUUGAUAGGCUGGAUGUGGAAGAGUGGCAACACUUGAAGCUAACCAGUACUAAUUGCUCGAUUGGCUUGAAUUC